rnacentral:rRNA from 1 species
GAUGAACGCUAGCUACAGGCUUAACACAUGCAAGUCGAGGGGCAGCAUGAACUUAGCUUGCUAAGUUUGAUGGCGACCGGCGCACGGGUGAGUAACACGUAUCCAACCUGCCGAUGACUCGGGGAUAGCCUUUCGAAAGAAAGAUUAAUACCCGAUGGCAUAGUUCUUCCGCAUGGUAGAACUAUUAAAGAAUUUCGGUCAUCGAUGGGGAUGCGUUCCAUUAGGUUGUUGGCGGGGUAACGGCCCACCAAGCCUUCGAUGGAUAGGGGUUCUGAGAGGAAGGUCCCCCACAUUGGAACUGAGACACGGUCCAAACUCCUACGGGAGGCAGCAGUGAGGAAGAUUGGUCAAUGGACGAGAGUCUGAACCAGCCAAGUAGCGUGAAGGAUGACUGCCCUAUGGGUGGUAAACUUCUUUUAUACGGGAAUAAAGUGAGGCACGUGUGCCUUUUUGUAUGUACCGUAUGAAUAAGGAUCGGCUAACUCCGUG